rnacentral:misc_RNA from 1 species
GUAGGUGAACCUGCGGAAGGAUCAUUAGUGAAUUUUGGCUGUCUCCACCGAGAAGCCGUCUUCCACUUUUAACCCUGUGAACUGUCAUCGGCUCCACUGGUUGAGCCUGAUGUAAAACCUUUACCUUUUAUCGCAAGUUAAUGAAUGUAAACAAUUUAUAACAAAAAAAAAACUUUCAACAACGGAUCUCUUGGCUCUC